rnacentral:snRNA from 16 species
AGCUUUGCGCAGAGGCAGUGUCAUAGCCAAUGAGGUACUACCGAGGCGUGACUAUUGCUAGUUGAAAACGUGAAAUGUCUUGAAAUAAAAAAGAGGCUUCUGAAGUUUCCUCAAUAACGCCCAUAAAAAAAGAAAACAUAAUAAAGAACAGCAUGUUUCGAAUAUGAUUUUUAUGCAAUAAAAAUAAUUAU